GACGAACGCUGGCGGCGUGCUUAACACAUGCAAGUCGAGCGAUGAAGCUUCUUCGGAAGUGGAUUAGCGGCGGACGGGUGAGUAACACGUGGGUAACCUGCCUUGUAGAGAGGAAUAGCCAUUCGAAAGGAUGAUUAAUACCUCAUAAUAUUGUAGCUUCGCAUGGAGCAACAAUCAAAGGAGCAAUCCGCUACAAGAUGGACCCGCGGCGCAUUAGCUAGUUGGUGAGGUAACGGCUCACCAAGGCGACGAUGCGUAGCCGACCUGAGAGGGUGAUCGGCCACAUUGGGACUGAGACGCGGCCCAGACUCCUACGGGAGGCAGCAGUGGGGAAUAUUGCACAAUGGGGGAAACCCUGAUGCAGCAACGCCGCGUGAGUGAUGACGGUCUUCGGAUUGUAAAGCUCUGUCUUCAGGGACGAUAAUGACGGUACCUGAGGAGGAAGCCACGGCUAACUACGUGCCAGCAGCCGCCGUAAUAC
rnacentral:rRNA from 1 species